rnacentral:rRNA from 1 species
CCUACGGGUGGCUGCAGUGGGGAAUAUUGGACAAUGGGGGGAACCCUGAUCCAGCCAUGCCGCGUGUGUGAAGAAGGCCCUCGGGUUGUAAAGCACUUUCAGUGAGGAAGAACGCCUGGUGGUUAAUACCCAUCAGGAAAGACAUCACUCACAGAAGAAGCACCGGCUAACUCCGUGCCAGCAGCCGCGGUAAUACGGAGGGUGCGAGCGUUAAUCGGAAUUACUGGGCGUAAAGCGCGCGUAGGUGGCUUGAUAAGCCGGUUGUGAAAGCCCCGGGCUCAACUUGGGAACGGCAUCCGGAACUGUCAAGCUAGAGUGCAGGAGAGGAAGGUAGAAUUCCCGGUGUAGCGGUGAAAUGCGUAGAGAUCGGGAGGAAUACCAGUGGCGAAGGCGGCCUUCUGGACUGACACUGACACUGAGGUGCGAAAGCGUGGGUAGCAAACAGGAUUAGAUACCCUUGUAGUC